AAAUUGAAGAGUUUGAUCAUGGCUCAGAUUGAACGCUGGCGGCAGGCCUAACACAUGCAAGUCGAACGGUAACAGGAAGCAGCUUGCUGCUUCGCUGACGAGUGGCGGACGGGUGAGUAAUGUCUGGGAAACUGCCUGAUGGAGGGGGAUAACU
rnacentral:rRNA from 4 species